AUUGAACGCUGGCGGCAGGCUUAACACAUGCAAGUCGAGCGGGGUGAUGGUGCUUGCACUAUCACUUAGCGGCGGACGGGUGAGUAAUGCUUAGGAAUCUGCCUAUUAGUGGGGGACAACAUCUCGAAAGGGAUGCUAAUACCGCAUACGUCCUACGGGAGAAAGCAGGGGAUCACUUGUGACAUUGCGCUAAUAGAUGAGCCUAAGUCGGAUUAGCUAGUUGGUGGGGUAAAGGCCUACCAAGGCGACGAUCUGUAGCGGGUCUGAGAGGAUGAUCCGCCACACUGGGACUGAGACACGGCCCAGACUCCUACGGGAGGCAGCAGGGGGGAAUAUUGGACAAUGGGGGGAACCCUGAUCCAGCCAUGCCGCGUGUCUGAAGAAGGCCUUAUGGUUGUAAAGCACUUUAAGCGAGGAGGAGGCUCUUUUGGUUAAUACCCAAGAUGAGUGGACGUUACUCGCAGAAUAAGCACCGGCUAACUCUGUGCCAGCCGCCGCAGUAA
rnacentral:rRNA from 1 species